CUGCCAGUCAGCAUGCGGUCGUUUCGGGGAUGCUGCAGUCGAAGCGUCCCUCGUUGGUAGCGGGAAUAGGCCCCAUUCUUUCAGUAAGCGCACUCCCACCUCCGGUUCGUUGACGAUAUGCGUUUUGGCAUUCCUCCAUAUAAGUAGUUUUGUAGGAUAGCCCCAUCUAUAUUGUAUGUCGUUGUUUCUCAGGGACUUUGUUACGUUGAUGAACUCUCUGCGUCUG